AAGAAGAGAAGUAGAAC
rnacentral:sRNA from 1 species